rnacentral:ncRNA from 2 species
AGUAGAGUAGAUGUUAUACGUAAAGUGUCACCAAAGGGGGAGGCUUUUGGUGAACGAAGGAGACUUCCGCGUUAUAAGAUCGCUCCCGCUACU